rnacentral:rRNA from 1 species
GACGAACGCUGGCGGCGUGCCUAAUACAUGCAAGUUGAGCGCUGAAGGUUGGUACUUGUUCCUACUGGAUGAGCAGCGAACGGGUGAGUAACGCGUGGGGAAUCUGCCUUUGAGCGUGGGACAACUUUUGGAAACGAAUGCUAAUACCGCAUAAAAUCUUUAAACACAAGUUUUAAUUUUGAAAGAUGCAAUUGCUUCACUCAAAGAUUAUCCCGCGUUGUCUUAGCUAGUUGGUGAGGUAAACGCUCAACAAGGCGAAGAUACAUAGCCGACCUUAGAGGGUGAACGGCCAAAAUGGGACUGAGACACGGCCCAAACUUCUACGGGGAGGAGCAGUAGGGAAUCUUCGGGAAUGGAGGAAAGUCUGAACGAGCAACGCCGGGGGAGGGAAGAAGGGUUUCGGAUCGUAAAACUCUGGUGGUAGGGAAGAAAGUAAGUGGGAGUGGAAAGCGCAUCAAGUGACGGUAACUAACCAGAAAGGGACGGCUAACUACGUG